rnacentral:lncRNA from 1 species
UCCAGCCAAGCAACUUUAUUUAUAUUCCUCAAUUCGGGCAACUACUUUGAAAGUAGGUCCUCAAGAAUCAAAUAAUUUUCAAACCUGUAUCAAUCAACCAAUUUAGAGCCCUAUCAGGACUCAACGAUGAAAAACUCACCAGGUUAUCUUCCAAACUAUAUGGCAGCAACAACUAUUGUAUUAGUUGGGAGUUUUGUUCAAAAUUGAACUCUAAAAAGAAUUAAAGUAUGGCAAAAUAUUGAAAUUACUAGAAACAGAGAUAUAGCUGAAAUGAAAAAUUGACAUACUUCACAGGUAAGGAUGCCAACGGAGUAGAUCUAGGGGCAGGGCCCCACCCCAACUACCGCCCUGCAUCCACAACAGGUCAAAAACCUAUCUUGUAAUCCACCUGGCUUCUAAACCCGCCUUCUGCCAGCAUAUUGAAUCCACCCCGCCAACUAAUUCUUUU